GUCAUUGAUGCCUUCUCAGAAAAGCAAUUGGCACUCCAACCAACCAUUGAAGAAUUUGAGAAAAACGAUCUAGUCUUUGCAAGCAAUCCAUAUGCAGGAAGAUCUUACGUUUUCUCAACACUCAUCAAUACUCCACUACAAAACCAAGAUCAAGCACUGAGAGAAAAACUGAUGGACAGCCAUUUUCCAGAAGCAAUGAAAAACAGAUAUAUCCAUUUCCCAAUCAACCACGACAACCAUUGGACAAUUGUGGUCUUUGACAAUGCUGAUGGAAUAUGGAGACACUAUGACUCUUUGAGACCAGCAAAAGAUUGCCACAACAAGCACUUUGAAAUUGCAAAGCAAAUUCAACAACAUCAACUGAGAUGGAAUAAAGCAUUACUCAGCAAACAGGGAAACAUGUUAUCAUCUCAAGAGUGC